rnacentral:lncRNA from 1 species
CCCAGUUGGAGCUUCCUGGCUGCUUUGUUUACCUUAGCAAGCCUGGGCAAUGGCGGGCGCCCCUCCCCCAGCCUCGCUGCCGCCUUGCAGUUUGAUCUCAGACUGCUGUGCUAGCAAUCAGCAAGACUCCGUGGGCGUAGGACCCUCCAAGCCAGGUGCGAUAUAAUGUCGUGGUGCGCCGUUUUUUAAGCUGGUUGGAAAAGCGCAGUAUUCGCGUGGGAGUGACCCGAUUUUCCAGGUGCGUCCGUCACCCCUUUCUUUGACUAGGAAAGGGAACUCCCUGACCCCUUGCACUUCCCAAGUGAGGCAAUGCCUCGCCCUGCUUCGGCUCGCGCACGGUGCGCGCACCCACUGACCUGUGCCCACUGUCUGGCACUUCCUAGUGAGAUGAACCCGGUACCUCAGAUUGAAAUGCAGAAAUCACCCGUCUUCUGCGUCGCUCACGCUGGGAGCUGUAGACCGGAGCUGUUCCUAUUCGGCCAUCUUGGCUCCUCCCUCAGUUCUGGAGACUGGGACAUCCAAGGUCAAUGUGCUGGCAGAUUCAAUGUCUGGAUUGGCAAACACAAAUCAUGUUCCAAGUUCUGCCUUCCACCUGAGUGAAAUACAUCACCGCUUUCCCUGCUCCCGCCGCCAUUAAAAUUGUGUUUGGCAUCUGACCACCAAGAUACAGAUAUUUCCUAGACUGUUUUGCAGCUAGGUACUUAGAAAUAUCAACACUGUUUGCACUAUAAUUUACUUUUUGAGCCUCUGACAUUUACCCAGCUGACUGUCUUUGGAGAACAAUCUCUUGUCUGAGAAGCACUCUAGAAUGGAAGCCUCUUUGAAGAAAGUGUGGGAGGGGCAAAUCUAGACCACAGGUGAAGAAAAUGGGAUACAACAACCAGGAGAGGAUGAAAAUAUGAGAUGAAAAAUAUGAGUGGUUAUGAAAGAGACAGAAGACAGGGAAAUUCUGGGCAGAAGAGGGUGGGUCUGCAGCAAGGGCCCCACCCUCAGGCCUGGAACCUCGGCCCAAAGUGAGAACAUACAUUCCUAUUUUCCCAUUCAAAUGUUGCCUUUUCCAAAACCACCCAUGGCCUACCCUGAACCCCAAACCUGUGCCCAUAAAAACCCAGGCUCUGCUGCCAGAGGGAGGAGAAGAAGAGGAGCACAUGGACAUUAAAGACUACAAUUCGAUGUCGCAGAGAAGCAGCUUGACUUCACAGGGAUGGCUUAAUGGCAUAGCUUCAGAAAAUUACCUCACAGCUCUGUUCCCUUUCCAGCUUCCCUUCCCUCUCACUCUGAAAGCCACUUUAUUUGGCAAUAAAAGC